GACGUAGGGGGCAAGCGGUGUCCGGAAUCAUUGGGCGUAAAGCGCUCGUAGGCGGCCAACUAAGUCGGAUGUGAAAUCCCCAGGCUUAACUUGGGAACUGCAUCCGAUACUGGAUGGCUUGAAUCCGGGAGAGGGAUGCGGAAUUCCAGGUGUAGCGGUGAAAUGCGUAGAUAUCUGGAGGAACACCGGUGGCGAAGGCGGCAUCCUGGACCGGCAUUGACGCUGAUGAGCGAAAGCCAGGGGAGCAAACGGG
rnacentral:rRNA from 1 species